rnacentral:antisense_RNA from 1 species
AGUUCUCUCGCGACCUCUAGCCACUUCCGGUUGCUAACGGUUCCCAAACAGCCCCCGAAAACGCUACGUGAGUUGGGCCCUGGGCCAGAGGCAGAAAACGGACGGAAGAAAAGGUCUGGCCGGAGAUGGGUCUCACUCUGUCACCCAGACUGGAGUGCAGUGAGUGGUGCGAUCAUAGCUCACUGCAGCCUGAAACUCCUGGGCUCAAGUGAUCCUCUCGCCUCAGCCUCCUGAGUAGCUGGAGCUACAGGUGUGAGCUACCCAGCAUGGCUCAUUUGAGAUUUCUGAGUAGAGAAGUAACAUGAUUAAACUUGGGUAUUGAAAUUAUUAUUUUGGCUGCUAUGUUAACAGUAGACUUGAAUGUGAAGGGGUUGGGCAAGGGCAAAAGCAGGGAGACAGGUUGGAAAGCUGGAAUGGGAAGGGCCUUUUUAAGAAUAACACAAACCCCUAAAGACAUAAAACUGAAAAGGCCAUGGAGGAAAAGAUAAAUGAAACUGGCCUUGUAAAAUUGAAAUAUUUGAAUGAAAAAAGUAAAAAUAAAAUAUAAACUAAAAGUAAAAUAUGCCACACAUCUAAAAGACACAGCUGAUUUUCCUGAUAUACAAAGACCUUUUAUCUUACCAAAAAAUAAAAAUAUGAACAAGCCAAUAGAAAAAUAGACAAAGUACUUAACCUGCAUGCAUUUAUUGUCAGGCCUCUGACAAUAUGAUACUAAGCCAUCAUAGCCCCUGUGACCGCCACGUAUACAUCCAGAUGACCUGGAGCAACUGAAGAACCACAAAAGAUGGCAUUCCACCAUUGAGAUUUGUUCCUGCCCCACCCCAACUAAUCAAUCGACCUUGUGACAUUCCCCCUGCCCCCGACAGUGAGUCUCAUGAUCUCCCCACCCAGCACCUUGGCACCUUGUGACCCCCGCCCCUGCCCACAACAGAUAACCACCUUUAACUGUAAUUUUCCACUACCUACCCAAAUCCUAUAAAACUGCGCCACCCCAUCUCCCUUUGCUGACUCUCUUUUUGGACUCAGCCCACUUGCACCCAAGUGAAAUAAACAGCCUUGUUGCUCACACAAAGCCUGUUGGUGGACUCUUCACACAGACUCACGUGACAUUUAUAGAACACAAAAUUAAGAAUAAUGAAUAUGAAAAGGUUCACUAAUAAGAAUUUAAACAAAACAAGAAAGAUUUUUAAGAUUGCUAAAGACAAACGAUUUAUAAUAUUCAGUGUUAGGAGGUGUGUGGAUAUACAGGCAUACUUAGUUUUACAUUUUUAGAAGGUAAGACUUAUUUAGAAGGUAAGAAGUUGUCCAUACCCCUUGAUUCAACAACUUAGCUUCUUGGAAUUAUCCAUAUAGAAAUGCUUACAUAAAUGUUUGAACAUAUGUACAAAGAAGCACUAUUUAUUUAAAUUUGGAAACUUGAAUGCCUAACAUUUGGAAUUUAAAUUUUUAUAUGUCUAUUCAUUAAAAUACCACCCAGUUUUUAGAAACUAAGAGACGCUAAAGGUAUAUUGAGUAAAAUAAAAAGUUACAAAA